CCUACGGGUGGCUGCAGUGAGGAAUAUUGGUCAAUGGUCGGGAGACUGAACCAGCCAAGCCGCGUGAGGGAUGAAGGUCCAGCGUAUCGUAAACCUCUUUUGUCAGGGAACAAACUCGGGGACGUGUCCCCGUAUGCGUGUACCUGAAGAAUAAGCAUCGGCUAACUCCGUGCCAGCAGCCGCGGUAAUACGGAGGAUGCGGGCGUUAUCCGGAUUUAUUGGGUUUAAAGGGUGCGCAGGCGGCCUUUUAAGUCAGCUGUCAAAUGCCGGGGCUCAACCCGGGCCCUGCGGUGGAAACUGGCAGGCUCGAGUGGGAGGGAGGUAGGCGGAAUGCGCGGUGUAGCGGUGAAAUGCAUAGAUAUCGCGCAGAACUCCGAUUGCGAAGGCAGCAUGCCGGAGCGAGACUGACGCUGAGGCACGAAAGCGUGGGUAUCGAACAGGAUUAGAUACCCUUGUAGUC
rnacentral:rRNA from 1 species